rnacentral:rRNA from 1 species
GACGAACGCUGGCGGCGUGCUUAACACAUGCAAGUCGAACGCAGUGGCGAACGGGUGAGUACCGCGUAAUCAACCUGCCCUCCAGCGGAGCACAACAGUUGGAAACGACUGCUCAUACCGUAUACUGUAGGAGGGGAUUGCGUCGGAUUGGGUAGUUGGGAGGGAAACGGCCACCCAAGGCGAUGAUCAGUAGCCGGUCUGGGAGGAUGAACGGGCAAAUUGGGACUGGGGAACGGCCCAGACUCCUAAGGGAGGCAGCAGGGGGGAAUCUUCCGGAAUGGACGGAAGUCGGACGGAGCAACGCCGCGGGAGUGAUGACGGCCUUCGGGUGGUAAAGCUCUGUUAAUCGGGACGCGGUACCGGAAUAGAAAGCCACGGCUAACUACGUGCCAGCAGCCGCGGUAAUAC